GUUGGUCUUUAAGGUGCUACUGAAGGAAUUUUUUUAUUUUACUUCGACCCAGACCAACACGGCUACCUACCUGUAACCAGUACAUAUAUUUCUGUUAGUCAUUCAUUCAUCCUUCACACAAUGCAUUGGCCUGUUACUUUCCUGACUGCAAAUAAUAAAAUAAAAUAAAUUAUUCAAAAGACUGGAUUUAUUGCACUAGGGAGCAAGAAGCCUUUCAUCCACUUUUAGUGGCACAAUCUAAAUUCCUGGUAUGCACUUGAAUCCCUCCUGCAAAACACCAUAGUUCAGGGUAGAUAAAAGAAAGUUAUCCUUCAGGCAGCUCAACUGUGGAACUCAUCCAAACUGGAGGCAGUGAUGGCCAUCAAUCUACAAGGCUUUUAAGGAAGAAUAGACAAAUUCAUGGAGGAGAGGGCUAUUGAGGGCUACUAGCCGUUGAGGAAGAAAUACUUCUGAAUACCAAUUGCUGGAAACCCCAGGAGGGGUGAGUGCUCUUGUGCUCUGGUCCUGCUUGCAAUUGAUUUGGCCACUGUGAGAAUAGGAUGCUGGACUGGAUUUGCCACUGACCUGAUCCAGUAGGCUCUUCUUAUUUGCAUAUAUUCUGGAGUCAUGUGGUUUAGAAAAGUAGUGGAACUUUUUUCCUUUCCUUGGCUGGCUGCUCUUGCCUCUCCUACUGGCAAUACUGGCUUCACUUCUUAAUCCAGCACAAGGAAAAGAUUACUCAUUAACACUCAUUAAAGUGACCACAGAACACACACACACCCCAAAAAGCUCAGAAAUAGGCACAGAUGGUUCUGCUGGCAAGAACGGGAAAGAUCCAGUUUGCAAGGAGGAACUUUGAUUUGAGGGUUAAUAGAGGAAGCUACAGGUAGCUUGGGGGGGGGGUAGGUCUCGCAACAACCGUUAAGCAUAGCGCACCUGUGAAUAGCAACGCUGGAGACAAAACAGUUGGGAGGGGCUGCAGAUUUCAUGUCCCUCCAGUUGAGGGCUUCCCAGCGAUCUGGCUGGACACUAUUUGAAACUAGAACUUGAUUUGUUCCAGGAGGGUGGGUGUCUCCUUUAAAACCUUGGAGCAAUGGACAGCUGAAACUUGCCCAUAGCAGAAUAGCAAUGGGACUCUUCUAGUAGACUUCCUUUGAAGCGAUUUCUUGGACUUUUAUAAUGGGGGUGGGACACCUCAGGCCAUGGGGUCUGAGGAGCCACUGCCAGCCAGGGUUGACAAUAUUGAAUGCAGUAGACCAGGCAUCCCCAAACUUCGGCCCUCCAGAUGUUUUGGACAACAAUUCCCAUCAUCCCUGACCACUGGCCCUGUUAGCUAGGGAUCAUGGGAGUUGUAGGCCAAAACAUCUGGAGGGCCGCAGUUUGGGGAUGCCUGCAGUAGACUAAUCUGACCUUGUAUCAGGCAGCUUUACAUGUUCCUAUGAUGCUGAGUCUUGCUUGCCUGACAGGAGGAUAUUAAGUAUGUAAGUGUGUGCAGAAGCUACUUAAUAAUAAUAAUAAUAAUAAUAAUAAUAAUAAUAAUAAUAAUAAUAUUUAUACCCCGCCCAUCUGGCUGGGUUUCCGCAGCCACUCUGGGAGGCUCCCAACUGAAGACUAAAAACAGAAUAAAACUUCAAACAUUAAAAACUAACCCUAAACAAGGCAGGAAGCAAAGGAAAUCCAUCAUCAAGGAGGUGGCAUUUGCUACCAAGAAGCAUCCACCUCUGCAGGGCUUUUCAUAGGGCAGGGGAAGUGGGUAAUCUUUACACAGUAACAUCCUGUGAAGCGGAAAUGCUGGUUUGCAUUUUGCAUAUACCAAAAAAGGAAAAAAGAAAGAAAAAAGGUAGCAUUUAUUUUUCUGUCCAUUCCAUUCAGUCCAGGCCAAACUCAUUGUUAACUUCAGAGAGUCGCUGACGUCACAACGUUUCAUUUCUACCCCAGGUUCUCCCAGCCAAACCAAACAGUAAUGAACUGUCUCAUCUAGUCUAAACAUUUGUUAAGGGCUACCUGUUCAAGCGACGAUAGAAUGAAAGCGUAAAAGGAUGCUGGUGCAUUAGGAUGACAAACUGUCACUGCAAUAGAUGGAUGACUGGGAUGAUGAGAAUCUUUUGCAAAAUGAUAACAUAUUGAUCCUGCAGAGAUAGAUGGGUGGAGAGGGUAUAAAGGAGGGUCCAAGCACUCAGGCUGCUGCGAGAUCCUCACAGUUUGGCCAAGCUGCAAAAGGGGACAAUGAAGAUGGAGUUCCAGAUUCUGGCGUAUGUCAUGGUAGCACUUUCAUCUAUCUGCUGCGUAGCAGCCUAUCCUGUUUACCCAGACAUUGAGGCCAUGCAAGGUAAGGAACAAUCUUGAUUAUGAUUUGGAGUGGAAGUUGGUCAGUGCUGUUGUGAUGGUUUCAUGCUAGGCUACAAAUGCAUGUCAACAUAAGCAGAGCAUUGCUAGAUCAGACCAAGGCCCAUCUUGGCCUUCCCUAAUCUGGUGCCUUCCAUCAGGCUGUAACUCUCUUCAGUCCUUCUUUACAUGGUCAAUGGGAGUUGUAGUCCAAAAGUCCAAUGGUUGUACUCCAAUGGUCAGGGAUGAGGGGAGUUGUAGUCCUUCUGGAGAGCACCAGAUUAAGGAACUUCUGGUGCAUCUGCCCUGCUUCCCAUAGUAGGAAAGUUACAAGCACACUUUUUUUUUUAUGUUCUGCCCAGAUUUUGUACCUACGGAUUUUAACUUGGUGGAUAACGCUGUUGGAUUCAUACCUGAUGAUGCAGCUUCUUUUGGACUUCGUCCAUCCCGGAAUCUGAAUGCAGCUCACUCUGCCCUGGAAGAAGGAAUUAAUCAGGUCCAGAAAAGUAGACAAUGGAAUGGAGGCAAGGAGUCACUGCAAGAUGACGGUGCCGAUAACCUGGUAGAGGAUAUAAAAGCCAUUCUGUGGAAGCUGUCAGCAGCAGACAAGUUCCGCAGCCAUGCCUUUGUCAAAGCGGACCAGUCUCCUCAGAAGCCGAGCAAGAGAGCUUGUUUCUGGAAGUACUGUGUUACCAACUGAAGGCAAGGAUCCGACUGAUCUUCUCUGCACAUGUGUGCCCGUCUCCCCAAAUGCCUCCCAGAGACUGUCUUCAAACCCAGUCUGUCCGGAAUGUGGGCUCCUUGCUUACACCUGCGCUUCAAUGCAUCAGUUAACCUUGAAUCAUGCCAUGCCAUUUUGGUUAUGCAGAAGAAUUUGCUUUGCCUUGCAGAUAGAAUCCUUCAUAUCACCACAACAGCCCCAUGGUGGAGAACAGAAACCACUUCUGAUACAGCUGCUGGCUUUGUUCAUGGCAUAGCAGAUAAGGAAAAGAGAGAGCUCAAGGAAAGAGCUUGCACCUUCGUUAAACUGGGUGGGGUAGCUGUGGAAGAGUCUGUUCUUGCAUAUAUUAGUGAAAAUAAAAUAGGCAUAAUAAAGGGGGUAGUUGCCUCAUAUAAAAUGUGUAUACACAAAUGGGCGUAUUAGGAUCAAUUCUCACUAAAAUGCUGGUGGGUUUUCAUGAGGUCUGUUAAAAAAACGAAAACAAACAAUGUGGAAAUAUGGAGAACUGAACUGAACAUUUGGAGGGUGGGGUGAAUGAGAAACUGAAAUUGAUAAGACUCAUCCAUUCCUAAUUGCAAGUGAUGGUUUGUUCCCCGAGUGCUGCAAGGUGUCUGCCAUAGAAUGCUUGCUCACUUGGGGAGCAAGUAAAGUCACAGUCUGUCCCAUUUGAUCACUGUGGUUAAUGAUGCCAGGCUAUAGGCCCUGCUGUGUAAGGGAGUGAAGAUCUCAUGCCCUGUUCCCCACCCCCAACAACUGUUUAGACUGGGGUGAUUAUCCAAAGCAAGACCCCAAACAAUAAUGAUUUUGGACAACAUAUCCCCUCAUCCUGCAUCCUUCAGCAUUAAUAUGACCUACUUCAUUGACCCCCAUGACAGCAAGCCUGUGUUGUUUUUCCUUGUUGUACUGAUUAAAAUAUUUCUGUAUUUAUUACUGGGAUUAUUGUCUUUUUGUUUGCAUUGCUGUCUGUUUCCAUGGUCAUGCCUUCAGCUAAUUUUGGUUGUGCAAUGCUCAAUAAAGAAC